AUUGAACGCUGGCGGCAGGCUUAACACAUGCAAGUCGAACGGUAACAUAAAGAAGCUUGCUUCUUUGAUGACGAGUGGCGGACGGGUGAGUAAUGCUUGGGAAUCUAGCUUAUGGAGGGGGAUAACUACGGGAAACUGUAGCUAAUACCGCGUAAUAUCGAGAGAUUAAAGUGUGGGACCUUCGGGCCACAUGCCAUAGGAUGAGCCCAAGUGGGAUUAGGUAGGUGGUGAGGUAAAGGCUCACCAAGCCGACGAUCUCUAGCUGGUCUGCGAGGAUGACCAGCCACAGUGAGACUGAGACACGGGCCAGACGCCUACGGGAGGCCGCAUGGGGGAAUAUUGCGCAAUGGGGGCAACCCUGACGCAGCCAUGCCGCGUGAAGGAAGAAGGCCUUCGGGUUGUAAAGUUCUUUCGGUAGCGAGGAAGGCAUUUAGUUUAAUAGACUAGGUGAUUGACGUUAACUACAGAAGAAGCACCGGCUAACUCCGUGCCAGCAGCCGCCGUAACAC
rnacentral:rRNA from 1 species